AGAAAGAUAAGCUAAAAAAGCUACUGGGUUCAUACCCCAUUUAUAGGGGUCAAUCCCCUUCUCUCUA
rnacentral:tRNA from 1 species